rnacentral:rRNA from 1 species
GGCCAGACUCCUACGGGAGGCAGCAGUGGGGAAUAUUGCACAAUGGGGGAAACCCUGAUGCAGCGACGCCGCGUGAGUGAAGAAGUAUUUCGGUAUGUAAAGCUCUAUCAGCAGGGAAGAAAAUGACGGUACCUGACUAAGAAGCCCCGGCUAACUACGUGCCAGCAGCCGCGGUAAUACGUAGGGGGCAAGCGUUAUCCGGAUUUACUGGGUGUAAAGGGAGCGUAGACGGCAUGGCAAGUCAGAUGUGAAAGCCCGGGGCUCAACCCCGGGACUGCAUUUGAAACUGUCAGGCUGGAGUGCAGGAGAGGUAAGUGGAAUUCCUAGUGUAGCGGUGAAAUGCGUAGAUAUUAGGAGGAACACCAGUGGCGAAGGCGGCUUACUGGACUGUAACUGACGUUGAGGCUCGAAAGCGUGGGGAGCAAACAGGAUUAGAUACCCGCGUA